CCUACGGGUGGCAGCAGUGAGGAAUAUUGGUCAAUGGGCGCGAGCCUGAACCAGCCAAGCCGCGUGAGGGAUGAAGGUCCUACGGAUUGUAACCCUCUUUUGCCGGGGAGCAAGCGUGCGUUCGUGACCGCGCGUCGAGAGUACCCGGAGAAAAAGCAUCGGCUAACUCCGUGCCAGCAGCCGCGGUAAUCCGGAGGCUGCGGGGGUUAUCCGGAUUUAUUGGGUUUAAAGGUUGCGUAGGCGGGAUGCCAAGUCAGCGGUAAAAAUGCGGUUCUAAACGCCGUCGAGCCGUUGAAACUGGCUUGCUUGAGUGGGCGAGAGGAUAGUGGAAUUCCAGGUGUAGGAGUGAAAUCCGUAGAUAGCUGGAGGAACAUCAGUGGCGAAGGCGACUAUCUGGCACAUAACUGACGCUGAGGAGCGAAAGCGUGGGUAGCAAACAGGAUUAGAUACCCGUGUAGUC
rnacentral:rRNA from 1 species